UACGUAGGGAGCAAGCGUUGUUCGGGAUCACUGGGCGUAAAGGGUGCGUAGGUGGCGUGGUAAGUCAGAUGUGAAAGCCCGGGGCUCAACCUCGGAAUUGCAUCCGAUACUGCCGUGCUUGAGUACUGGAGAGGUGACUAGAAUUCUAGGUGUAGCAGUGAAAUGCGUAGAUAUCUAGAGGAAUACCAAAGGCGUUGGCAGGUCACUGGACAGUUACUGACACUGAGGCACGAAGGCCAGGGGAGCAAACGGG
rnacentral:rRNA from 1 species